AACGAACGCUGGCGGCAGGCCUAACACAUGCAAGUCGAACGCUGCAGCAAUGCAGAGUGGCAGACGGGUGAGUAACGCGUGGGAACCUUCCCAGUGGUACGGAAUAGCCCAGGGAAACUUGGGGUAAUACCGUAUAAGCCCCUAGGGGGAAAGAUUUAUCGCCAUUGGAUGGGCCCGCGUCGGAUUAGCUAGUUGGUGAGGUAACGGCUCACCAAGGCAACGAUCCGUAGCUGGUUUGAGAGAAUGACCAGCCACACUGGGACUGAGACACGGCCCAGACUCCUACGGGAGGCAGCAGUGGGAAUAUUGCGCAAUGGGCGUAAGCCUGACGCAGCGACGCCGCGUGGGGGAUGAAGGCC
rnacentral:rRNA from 1 species